UGUCUGUGUGGAAAGCGGCUGUGCAGACAU
rnacentral:piRNA from 1 species